rnacentral:rRNA from 1 species
GAUGAACGCUGGCGGCGUGCCUAAUACAUGCAAGUCGAGCGAACAGACGAGGAGCUUGCUCCUCUGACGUUAGCGGCGGACGGGUGAGUAACACGUGGAUAACCUACCUAUAAGACUGGGAUAACUUCGGGAAACCGGAGCUAAUACCGGAUAAUAUAUUGAACCGCAUGGUUCAAUAGUUAAAGACGGUUUUGCUGUCACUUAUAGAUGGAUCCGCGCCGCAUUAGCUAGUUGGUAAGGUAACGGCUUACCAAGGCAACGAUGCGUAGCCGACCUGAGAGGGUGAUCGGCCACACUGGAACUGAGCCACGGUCCAGACUCCUACGGGAGGCAGCAGUAGGGAAUCUUCCGCAAUGGGCGAGAGCCUGACGGAGCAACGCCGCGUGAGUGAUGAAGGUCUUCGGAUCGUAAAACUCUGUUAUUAGGGAAGAACAAAUGUGUAAGUAACUAUGCACGUCUUGACGGUACCUAAUCAGAAAGCCACGGCUAACUACGUG